ACGCGAAGAACCUUACCUACUCUUGACAUCCUUGGAAGCUCGUAGAGAUAUGAGUGUGCCGAAAGGAACCAAGUGACAGGUGCCGCAUGGCUGUCGUCAGCUCGUGUCGUGAGAUGUUGGGUUAAGUCCCGUAACGAGCGCAACCCUUGUCCUUAUUUGCCAGCGAGUAAUGUCGGGAACUUUAAGGAGACUGCCGGUGAUAAACCGGAGGAAGGUGGGGACCACCUCAACUCAUCAUGGCCAAUAUCAGUACGGCUACAUACAUGCUACCAUGACCAAGCAUCAAUAGUAUACAAAUUUACAAAAGAUACCAACACAAGCUAUCCUAUCUAUCCACUAAAAAGAUCCCCACUCCUCAUUUGCCGCCCCACACCACACAACACAUAACAUCCAAAUCGAACACACUCACUACCUACAACCCCAACCUACCACAACAUCAGAUAUGAACCAUAU
rnacentral:rRNA from 1 species